rnacentral:rRNA from 1 species
GAGGCAGCAGUAGGGAAUCUUCCGCAAAUGGACGAAAGUCUGACGGAGCAACGCCGCGUGAGUGAUGAAGGUUUUCGGAUCGUAAAGCUUUGUUGUUAGGGAAGAACAAGUGCCGUUCAAAUAGGGCGGCACCUUGACGGUACCUAACCAGAAAGCCAGGGCUAAUUACGUGCCAGCAGCCGCGGUAAUACGUAGGUGGCAAGCGUUGUCCGGAAUUAUUGGGCGUAAAGGGCUCGCAGGCGGUUUCUUAAGUCUGAUGUGAAAGCCCCCGGUUCAACCGGGGAGGGUCAUUGGAAACUGGGGAACUUGAGUGCAGAAGAGGGAGAGUGGUAUUCCAACCGCGAGCGGUGAAAUGCGUAGAGAUGUGGAGGAACACCAGUGGCGAAGGCGACUCUCUGGUCUGUAACUGACGCUGAGGAGCGAAAGCGUGGGGAGCGAACAGGAUUAGAUACCCUGGUAGUCCACGCCGUAAACGAUGAGUGCUAAGUGUUAGGGGGUUUCCGCCCCUUAGUGCUGCAGCUAACGCAUUAAGCACUCCGCCUGGGGAGUACGGUCGCAAGACUGAAACUCAAAGGAAUUGACGGGGGCCCGCACAAGCGGUGGAGCAUGUGGUUUAAUUCGAAGCAACGCGAAGAACCUUACCAGGUCUUGACAUCCUCUGACACCCCUAGAGAUAGGGCUUCCCCUUCGGGGGCAGAGUGACAGGUGGUGCAUGGUUGUCGUCAGCUCGUGUCGUGAGAUGUUGGGUUAAGUCCCGCAACGAGCGCAACCCUUGAUCUUAGUUGCCAGCAUUCAGUUGGGCACUCUAAGGUGACUGCCGGUGACAAACCGGAGGAAGGUGGGGAUGACGUCAAAUCAUCAUGCCCCUUAUGACCUGGGCUACACACGUGCUACAAUGGACAGAACAAAGGGCAGCGAGACCGCGAGGUUAAGCCAAUCCCACAAAUCUGUUCUCAGUUCGGAUCGCAGUCUGCAACUCGACUGCGUGAAGCUGGAAUCGCUAGUAAUC